rnacentral:rRNA from 1 species
GACGGAGGGUGCUAGCGUUGUUCGGAAUCACUGGGCGUAAAGGGCGCGUAGGCGGCCUUGCAAGUCGGUUGGUGAAAGCCCGGGGCUCAACCCCGGACGGUGCGGCCGAGACUGCAGGGCUGGAGGCCGGAAGAGGAGGGUGGAAUACCCAGUGUAGAGGUGAAAUUCGUAGAUAUUGGGUGGAACACCGGUGGCGAAAGCGGCUCUCUGGUCCGGACCUGACGCUGAGGCGCGAAAGCGUGGGGAGCAAACAGG